rnacentral:rRNA from 1 species
GACGAACGCUGGCGGCGUGCUUAACACAUGCAAGUCGAACGAAGUGGCGAACGGGUGAGUAAUACGUGAGUAACAUGCCCUCCUUUUUGGGAUAAGCCUUUGAAACGGGGUCUAAUACCGAAUAAAGGGGGAUGGGCGCGCGGGCUAUCAGCUUGUUUGUGGGGUGAUGGCCUACCAAGACGGUGACGGGUCGACGGCCUGGGAGGGUGACCGGCCACAUGGGGACGGGGGUACGCCCCACAAGCAUACGGGAGUGAGCAGUGUGGUAGAUUGCACAAUGGGCGAAAGCCUGAUGCCGGGACGUCUCGUGGGGGAUUAAGGGUUUCGGGUUGUAAACCUCUUUCGCGAUCGAACGGGUAGGCGGAGAAGAAGCGCCGGCUAACUACGUGCCAGCAGCCGCGGUAAUUC